GGGAAUGGGCAUCCUACCUGAUCCGAGGUCAAAGUUGAAAAAAGGCUUAAUGGAUGCUAGACCUUUGCUGAUAGAGAGUGCGACUUGUGCUGCGCUCCGAAACCAGUAGGCCGGCUGCCAAUUACUUUAAGGCGAGUCUCCAGCAAAGCUAGAGACAAGACGCCCAACACCAAGCAAAGCUUGAGGGUACAAAUGACGCUCGAACAGGCAUGCCCUUUGGAAUACCAAAGGGCGCAAUGUGCGUUCAAAGAUUCGAUGAUUCACUGAAUUCUGCAAUUCACACUACUUAUCGCAUUUCGCUGCGUUCUUCAUCGAUGCCAGAACCAAGAGAUCCGUUGUUGAAAGUUGUAAUUAUUAAUUUGUUACUGACGCUGAUUGCAAUUACAAAAGGUUUAUGUUUGUCCUAGUGGUGGGCGAACCCACCAAGGAAACAAGAAGUACGCAAAAGACAAGGGUGAAUAAUUCAGCAAGGCUGUAACCCCGAGAGGUUCCAGCCCGCCUUCAUAUUUGUGUAAUGAUCCCUCCGCAGGUCACCCUACCGAAACAACCG
rnacentral:misc_RNA from 1 species